AUUGAACGCUGGCGGCAGGCCUAACACAUGCAAGUCGAGCGGAAACGACAACAUUGAUCCUUCGGGUGAUUUGUUGGGCGUCGAGCGGCGGACGGGUGAGUAAUGCCUGGGAAAUUGCCCUGAUGUGGGGGAUAACCAUUGGAAACGAUGGCUAAUACCGCAUAAUGUCUACGGACCAAAGAGGGGGACCUUCGGGCCUCUCGCUUCAGGAUAUGCCCAGGUGGGAUUAGCUAGUUGGUGAGGUAAUGGCUCACCAAGGCGACGAUCCCUAGCUGGUCUGAGAGGAUGAUCAGCCACACUGGAACUGAGACACGGUCCAGACUCCUACGGGAGGCAGCAGUGGGGAAUAUUGCACAAUGGGCGAAAGCCUGAUGUAGCCAUGCCGCGUGUAUGAAGAAGGCCUUCGGGUUGUAAAGUACUUUCAGUUGUGAGGAAGGGUGUGUAGUUAAUAGCUGCGCAUCUUGACGUUAGCAACAGAAGAAGCACCGGCUAACUCCGUGCCAGCAGCCGCGGUAAUACGGAGGGUGCGAGCGUUAAUCGGAAUUACUGGGCGUAAAGCGCAUGCAGGUGGUUUGUUAAGUCAGAUGUGAAAGCCCGGGGCUCAACCUCGGAACUGCAUUUGAAACUGGCAAACUAGAGUACUGUAGAGGGGGGUAGAAUUUCAGGUGUAGCGGUGAAAUGCGUAGAGAUCUGAAGGAAUACCAGUGGCGAAGGCGGCCCCCUGGA
rnacentral:rRNA from 1 species